UCCGCCCCUGUUGGUUAGGAUACUCGGCUCUCACCCGACAGACCCGGGUUCAAGUCCCGUCAACGGAA
rnacentral:tRNA from 1 species